CCUGGGCGCCUGACUCCGCCCACCGCCAGGUGACGCUGCUCCCAGACCAGGACGAGGCCUGGUGGCAGGAGCCAAUCGUGGCCCGGGAGCUGUUUUGGCCCGAGGUGGGCGUGGCCGACCCGCAGGUGCUGCGGGAGCAGGUGGAGACCUGCCGAGAGCUGCUGGAACUGGAGCCCCGGAGCCGAG